rnacentral:rRNA from 1 species
GAUGAACGCUAGCGACAGGCUUAACACAUGCAAGUCGAGGGGCAGCAUAGAAGUAGCAAUACUUUGGUGGCGACCGGCGCACGGGUGAGUAACGCGUAUGCAACCUACCUAUCAGAGGGGAUUAACCCGGCGAAAGUCGGACUAAUACCGCAUAAAACAGGGGCACCGCAUGGUGAUAUUUGUUAAAGAAAUUCGCUGAUAGAUGGGCAUGCGUUCCAUUAGGUAGUUGGUGAGGUAACGGCUCACCAAGCCGACGAUGGAUAGGGGAACUGAGAGGUUGGUCCCCCACACUGGUACUGAGACACGGACCAGACUCCUACGGGAGGCAGCAGUGAGGAAUAUUGGUCAAUGGGCGGGAGCCUGAACCAGCCAAGUCGCGUGAAGGAAGAAGGAUCUAUGGUUCGUAAACUUCUUUUGCAGGGGAAUAAAGUGCAGGACGUGUCCUGUUUUGUAUGUACCCUGAGAAUAAGGAUCGGCUAACUCCGUGCCAGCAGCCGCAGUAACAC